GCAGCAUCCAAAGCUCCUACGUGAGAAAACGUGUCACUGCUCUUCCAGGGAAAACUGAGUAGAAAUUUCUUUAUCUGACCCUAAUGCGGCUUCGAACUAAUGGUCAGCCUGAGACUGGCGCUGGAAUAUCAAACAAAGGUGCAUUUCUGGCGUAAUCAUUGACUUUUGUUUCUCGUUUGGAAUUUGACUUAUACCAAAAUCUUAUUCUGAUUUUACUAGGGGAUGCAAUGCAAAAGAAAGACGGUCCUUGGUCAGGAACCAAAGACUUCAGAGCUCCAGAGGUUUGCUUAAGAUCUUUGCACCAAGGCCCUAAGAUAGACGUCCCAGUUACUUUGUUAAAUCUGAUGAUCGGCAAAGCACCUACCUUUUACUGGUGGCCUUGAACAGAACAUGAAAGUUAUUGCGCAAUUACAAGGCAGUGAAGAAUUAUGGGAAGUUGCUAAACUGCACAACCGUGAAUCUUUUUUCCCUGAGGGAACUGUUACGGAUGGCGUUGAGAAAAUGGUUCGUACUCUAACACAAAACACAGACGCGAUUCCCCUCUUGCUUCUUGACCUUGUUGAUAAAUUUGACAGUCAACCCGAGGCUAGGAAUCAGUGCAGAGGACCCUUAGAAGACAAAGGCUCCAUAAGCAGCAAAGGCAACCGCAGCCUUCAGUGGCAGUGGUUGCUGCCGCAGUAGGCCAAGCACCCAGCUAAUAUUAGAAAUGUAAAAGUAAACUAGGUCAUCUUGACCUUCACAUCCGUGCAGAUUUUAUUUUUUUGUACUAAAAUAUUCUAAUUUAUAUAACAUUAUUAUGUAAUAAUACUAUUUUACAUAAUUUUUUGUAUUUUGUAAAAGAUAUUAUUUUGUAAACAUUAUGUAACAAUACUAUUUUACAUAAUUUUUAUGUUUCAUUUCUAAAAUUUGGAAUUUAUAUAGAAAUUAAAUUAAACUGAACAUAUAUAAUAGAGAUGAUUUUUUUGGGAUACUAUUAAAAGAGAAAACUAAUUUUAAAAAAGAAACUAUAAUAUUUUGUGUACUUAAAAAUAAUUUGAAGUAAAGAUUCUAUUUGAGAAAUUGCUUGAAAUACACCAAUUUGGAUAUCAUUUAAAAAAUAAAAUAAAACUCAAUCAAAUCAAAGAUAUCCUGACAUUUGAGUUUAUGGUUUAACGAUUAUUAUUUAGGAUUUAUUAUUUAUGUGGUGAAGUUGAGUUCAUAAAAUUUUCUAAAUAAUUCUUAUAUAUUUAUAAAUGAUUUGGGAGGGUUAAAUUUUGUUUUUUAAUAAUAAAUUUAAAAAUUUAUGAAAAUAAUAAUAAUUUAAAGUAAAUUUGAAAAUAAUAUCAAAUAUAAAGUAAAGUUAAAAUUUGUUUGAACUAUAUUAUAUACUGUAACAUUAAACAAGUUUGAUAAAUGUGUGUUCUCUUUGUAUAAAAUAGUGUUAGAAGAUUAAAUUUUGACAUAUAUAGGUCAUUCAUUCCAUGAUAUUAGUAUGCAUAUAGAAGAUAAAAGUGUGUUUAUGUUUAAUGUAUUAGUUCAUGUAUAUAUUCAUUUCGUAUAUAUAUUGUUCGUCCAUUUAUGGUUGAAGUAGGAGAUGUAAAACUGUACAUAUAGUGAUUAAUAAACCAAUAUGGUAUAGUUUUCAAAUAUUAAAAUGAAAUGGUUUUUAACUCAUUGAAAUAUAUAAACGCUAAUAAUAAUUGACUAAAACUUUAUAUAUACGAUAUGUAAAAAGAUUAAGGGUUUCAUCUUCGAAGGAGGGUGUAAAUUAAAUUUUAACCAUUAAUAAGAAUAUUAUAGUUGUGUUAGAAAUUAUUGACAUAAAUUGCAAUGUUACAUGAUAGAAACAUUUAAAAUUGUGACUUCAAAGAGAUAGUUUAUUAAAAAAUGACACAUAUAAAUAAGUCAUGAUUUAUGUGUUUAAUAAUAAGAUAUUUUAUUUUAAAACUUAAAUAGAAAUAGAUAUUGCUUUCCAACAAAAUCUUUGUAAAAACUUUGUAAAAUGUAUUUUUGAAAAUUAAUAAUUUUGAGUUGUUAUUAUCAUUAAAGUAUUUUAUAUAAUUUUUAAUUUUCGUUUAUAAAUCAAAACUAAAUUAAAUUCAAAUUUAUGAUCAUAUUUUAUGAUAACUAAAAUUAAAAUUAAUCAAUUUUCAGAAAUAAAUUUUAAGAAGCAACU